rnacentral:rRNA from 1 species
CGGGUGAGUAAUGCGUGACCAACCUGCCCCAUGCUCCAGAAUAGCUCUUGGAAACGGGUGGUAAUGCUGAUGCUCCAACUUGACGCAUGUCUUGUUGGGAAAGUGUUUAGUGGCAUGGGAUGGGGUCGCGUCCUAUCAGCUUGUAGGCGGGGUAAUGGCCCACCUAGGCUUCGACGGGUAGCCGGCCUGAGAGGGCGGACGGCCACAUUGGGACUGAGAUACGGCCCAGACUCCUACGGGAGGCAGCAGCG